UACGUAGGGUGCAAGCGUUGUCCGGAAUUAUUGGGCGUAAAGAGCGUGUAGGCGGCCCGGUAAGUCCGCUGUGAAAGUCGGGGGCUCAACCCUCGAAUGCCGGUGGAUACUGUCGGGCUAGAGUGCGGAAGAGGCGAGUGGAAUUCCUGGUGUAGCGGUGAAAUGCGCAGAUAUCGAGAGGAACACCGGUGGCGAAGGCGGCCUUCUGGACAGUGACUGACGCUGAGACGCGAAAGCGUGGGGAGCAAACAGG
rnacentral:rRNA from 1 species